GACGAAGGGGGCUAGCGUUGUUCGGAAUUACUGGGCGUAAAGCGCGUGUAGGCGGUUGUUCAAGUCGGGUGUGAAAGCCUUGAGCUCAACUCAAGAAAUGCACUCGAUACUGGAUGACUAGAGGACCGGAGAGGAUAGUGGAAUUCCCAGUGUAGUGGUGAAAUACGUAGAGAUUGGGAAGAACACCAGUGGCGAAGGCGGCUAUCUGGACGGUUUCUGACGCUAAGACGCGAAAGCGUUGAGGAGCGAACAGG
rnacentral:rRNA from 1 species